GUGGGGAAUCUUGCGCAAUGGGCGAAAGCCUGACGCAGCCAUGCCGCGUGAAUGAUGAAGGUCUUAGGAUUGUAAAAUUCUUUCACCGGGGACGAUAAUGACGGUACCCGGAGAAGAAGCUCCGGCUAACUUCGUGCCAGCAGCCGCGGUAAUACGAAGGGGGCUAGCGUUGCUCGGAAUUACUGGGCGUAAAGGGCGCGUAGGCGGACAGCUUAGUCAGAGGUGAAAGCCCAGGGCUCAACCUUGGAAUUGCCUUUGAUACUGGCUGUCUUGAGUUUGGGAGAGGUGAGUGGAACUCCGAGUAUAGAGGUGAAAUUCGUAGAUAUUCGGAAGAACACCAGUGGCGAAGGCGACUCACUGGCCCAAUACUGACGCUGAGGCGCGAAAGCGUGGGGAGCAAACAGGAUUAGAUACCCCUGUAGUCC
rnacentral:rRNA from 1 species